UGGCGGACGGGUGAGUAAUGUCUGGGAAACUGCCCGAUGGGGGGGGAUAACUACUGGAAACGGUAGCUAAUACCGCAUAACGUCGCAAGACCAAGAGGGGGACCUUCGGGCCUCUUGCCAUCGGAUGUGCCCAGAUGGGAUUAGCUAGUAGGUGGGGUAACGGCUCACCUAGGCGACGAUCCCUAGCUGGUCUGAGAGGAUGACCAGCCACACUGGAACUGAGACACGGUCCAG
rnacentral:rRNA from 1 species